ACGGGAGGCAGCAGUGGGGAAUAUUGCACAAUGGGCGCAAGCCUGAUGCAGCCAUGCCGCGUGUGUGAAGAAGGCCUUCGGGUUGUAAAGCACUUUCAGUCGUGAGGAAGGCGGGUACGUUAAUAGCGUAUUCGUUUGACGUUAGCGACAGAAGAAGCACCGGCUAACUCCGUGCCAGCAGCCGCGGUAAUACGGAGGGUGCGAGCGUUAAUCGGAAUUACUGGGCGUAAAGCGCAUGCAGGUGG
rnacentral:rRNA from 1 species